rnacentral:rRNA from 1 species
AGUGAACGCUGGCGGUAGGCCUAACACAUGCAAGUCGAACGGCAGCACAGUAAGAGCUUGCUCUUACGGGUGGCGAGUGGCGGACGGGUGAGGAAUACAUCGGAAUCUACUUUUUCGUGGGGGAUAACGUAGGGAAACUUACGCUAAUACCGCAUACGACCUACGGGUGAAAGCAGGGGAUCUUCGGACCUUGCGCGAUUGAAUGAGCCGAUGUCGGAUUAGCUAGUUGGCGGGGUAAAGGCCCACCAAGGCGACGAUCCGUAGCUGGCCUGAGAGGAUGAUCAGCCACACUGGAACUGAGACACGGUCCAGACUCCUACGGGAGGCAGCAGUGGGGAAUAUUGGACAAUGGGCGCAAGCCUGAUCCAGCCAUACCGCGUGGGUGAAGAAGGCCUUCGGGUUGUAAAGCCCUUUUGUUGGGAAAGAAAAGCAGCAGGUUAAUACCCCGCUGUCCUGACGGUACCCAAAGAAUAAGCACCGGCUAACUUCGUG